CCUACGGGAGACAGCAGUGAGGAAUAUUGGUCAAUGGACGAGAGUCUGAACCAGCCAAGUAGCGUGAAGGAUGACUGCCCUAUGGGUUGUAAACUUCUUUUAUAUGGGAAUAAAAUGUUCCACGUGUGGGCUUUUGUAUGUACCAUAUGAAUAAGGAUCGGCUAACUCCGUGCCAGCAGCCGCGGUAAUACGGAGGAUCCGAGCGUUAUCCGGAUUUAUUGGGUUUAAAGGGAGCGUAGGUGGAUUGUUAAGUCAGUUGUGAAAGUUUGCGGCUCGACCGUAAAAUUGCAGUUGAAACUGGCAGUCUUGAGUACAGUAGAGGUGGGCGGAAUGCGUGGUGUAGCGGUGAAAUGCUUAGAUAUCACGAAGAACUCCGAUUGCGAAGGCAGCUCACUGGACUGCAACUGACACUGAGGCUCGAAAGUGUGGGUAUCAAACAGGAUUAGAUACCCUAGUAGUC
rnacentral:rRNA from 1 species